rnacentral:rRNA from 1 species
CGGGCGUAGCAAUACGUCAGCGGCAGACGGGUGAGUAACGCGUGGGAACGUACCUUUUGGUUCGGAACAACACAGGGAAACUUGUGCUAAUACCGGAUAAGCCCUUACGGGGAAAGAUUUAUCGCCGAAAGAUCGGCCCGCGUCUGAUUAGCUAGUUGGUAGGGUAAUGGCCUACCAAGGCGACGAUCAGUAGCUGGUCUGAGAGGAUGAUCAGCCACAUUGGGACUGAGACACGGCCCAA